rnacentral:rRNA from 13 species
GCCAAGGACAAAAGCGCGCUGGAAAUGCUGGUUCUCGUCCGAUCGCCAGAGUUAAGCAGCCCGUGUCGCGGGGAGUACUAAGAUAGGUGAUAUCGCUCCUUGGGAAUUCCGUGUUAUCGUUGAUU